rnacentral:sRNA from 1 species
GAUACCAGGGUUCCAAAGACACGCUUUUCAUGCUUGCAAGAAAAAGCGUGCCCUUGGAACCCGCCAAAACAUGAGAAAGUAGCCCGAUUAGGGCGGAUUUCGAAUGUUUUGAGGAUUGCGAGAGCGCUUCUGCGCGGAACAAUCCGUCGGUAUC